rnacentral:rRNA from 1 species
AUGAUGCUGCUCAAAACUAAGCCGAUGGCCGCUGUUUCUCUUCCUCCACAGGGCAAUGGCGAGCCAUUACAUCCCCGAUCCACAUCGACUCGUUACCUGGCUUUGCGUUAUCGACGUGGAAGUUUUGGUUCGUGUCGCGCCAUUACGCACAUGGUUGCUUCUACUGGGUUUCAGGUACCAGUGAAAAAUUGCUCGUGCUUGACAUCCGGACGAUGGAGUUCUCCAUGGUUGACCACCCACCCUGUGCCAGACAACCGGGCGAUGAUGUGGCCAUAG